rnacentral:rRNA from 1 species
GACGAACGCUGGCGGCGUGCCUAAUACAUGCAAGUUGAGCGCUGAAGGUUGGUACUUGUACCAACUGGAUGAGCAGCGAACGGGUGAGUAACGCGUGGGGAAUCUGCCUUUGAGCGGGGGACAACAUUUGGAAACGAAUGCUAAUACCGCAUAAAAACUUUAAACACAAGUUUUAAGUUUGAAAGAUGCAAUUGCAUCACUCAAAGAUGAUCCCGCGUUGUAUUAGCUAGUUGGUGAGGUAAAGGCUCACCAAGGCGAUGAUACAUAGCCGACCUGAGAGGGUGAUCAGCCACAUUGGGACUGAGACACGGCCCAAACUCCUACGGGAGGCAGCAGUAGGGAAUCUUCGGCAAUGGACGAAAGUCUGACCGAGCAACGCCGCGUGAGUGAAGAAGGUUUUCGGAUCGUAAAACUCUGUUGGUGGAGAAGAACGUUGGUGAGAGUGGAAAGCUCAUCAAGUGACGGUAACUACCCAGAAAGGGACGGCUAACUACGUG